rnacentral:rRNA from 1 species
CUACGGGAGGCACCAGUGGGGAAUUUUGGACAAUGGGCGCAAGCCUGAUCCAGCCAUGCCGCGUGAGUGAAGAAGGCCUUCGGGUUGUAAAGCUCUUUCAGGUGGGAAGAAACGGUUAAUGUUAAUAGCAUUGACUACUGACGGUACCACCAGAAGAAGCACCGGCUAAAUACGUGCCAGCAGCCGCGGUAAUACGUAGGGUGCGAGCGUUAAUCGGAAUUACUGGGCGUAAAGGGUGCGCAGGCGGUUUUGUAAGCCAGAUGUGAAAUCCCCGGGCUCAACCUGGGAACUGCAUUUGGGACUGCAAGGCUAGAGUACGGCAGAGGGGGGUAGAAUUCCACGUGUAGCAGUGAAAUGCGUAGAUAUGUGGAGGAAUACCGAUGGCGAAGGCAGCCCCCUGGGUCGAUACUGACGCUCAGGCACGAAAGCGUGGGGAGCAAACAGGAUUAGAUACCCGAGUAGUC